UACGGAGGGCGCGAGCGGUUUUCGGAAUCACUGGGCGUAAAGCGCGUGUAGGCGGCCGAGCAAGUCGGAUGUGAAAUCCCGAGGCUCAACCUCGGAACUGCAUUCGAAACUGCUCGGCUCGAGUCCCGGAGAGGAUGGCGGAAUUCCCGGUGUAGGGGUGAAAUCCGUAGAUAUCGGGAGGAACACCAGUGGCGAAGGCGGCCAUCUGGACGGUGACUGACGCUGAGACGCGAAAGCGUGGGGAGCAAACAGG
rnacentral:rRNA from 1 species